rnacentral:lncRNA from 1 species
GACAAUCAACUCGAAAUCACGCAAAGAGAAGACAUCAUGCAUUUUGUUAUCAAGUUCACGUACGCAUGACAAAUAUCAACGGGAAUUAUUAGCAAUCAACCGCCACCCAUUUCCCUUGCAUCAAAUCAAACUUAACCAAAUCAAGCUGCAGGGUCUACAGACCAAACCGAAAGCACAUCUAGAAAAUUAGAAACUACAGCAGACGCAACACAAUAAAUAUGGGGAAAAAAAUGAUCGAUCCAUCGUUAGCUGAUCGACCCGGCCGUUGUUACUCUCUUCCUCCUCCGGCGUGCCUUCUUCAGCUUGGAACGACGAAGCAGACGACAUCCUCUCAUGUCGAUCUCUCUUCAAACGACCGAUGAACUGGAUGCUAGCUCACUCCAAAACCCCUGCAUAUUUGCACGUGUAGAAACAAAGUCAUCAGACCAGGCAGGCUAGUACACGUAUAUGUACGUACGCAUAUUAUAUAUGUGCAUGUGCAUGUGCCACUUGCAAAAGACUAGUACUUGCAGAGAGAUGCAUGCACGUAUAGCUACGUACAUGUUCACGGAUAAAUGGACGCAUGAGCCGGGGGCUGCCAGCUAGUCCAGAUCAGACGGUGCAGGUGUAGCCCGGCGGCGGCGUCUUGCCGCAGGUGAGGAGGAGCUGGAGCGCCAGUGGCAGGUAGAGGUUGAUGUUGAGGAGCCUGAGCUUGAUGGUGGUGCAGAGGCACACGGCCGCCUCCAGCUCCACCAGCCCCUCCAGCACCGGGCAGCACUUGUUCACCACGGGGUCGCCGAGGCCGAUAUGCACCAGCCCGCCCAGCAGGUCCACGCACGCGCCCAGCUUCAGCGAGUCAGCCGGGCACGUAGGCGACGACGGCGUCGGCGUCGGGCUCGGUGGCGGCGGGCACGGCGUCGAGCUUCCCCCGCCUCCGCCGGGAGGGUAGGUCACGGGCGGACCGGUGACCGGGGGCGUCGUCGCAGGCGGGCCAGUGAUCGGUGGGUAGGUCACCGGUGGGCCGACAACAGGCGGCGUUGUUGGAGGGCCGGUGAUCGGCGGGUAGGUCACCGGUGGUCCGACAACAGGCGGCGUCGUCGGAGGGCCGGUGAUCGGCGGGUAGGUCACCGGUGGUCCGACAACCGGCGGACGCGUGACCGGCGGGCGCGUGACGGGGCCCUUGGGAGGACCGACGACCGGCGGACGCAUGACUGGCGGGCGCGUGACGGGGCCCUUGGGAGGGCCGACGACCGGGGGGUAGGAGGGGCUCUUGGGCGGUUGGUGCCCCGGCGCUGGGUACCCGGUGCUGCC